GUGAAAUCCCAGGGCUCAACCCUGGAACUGCCUUUAAAACUGUUAGUCUUGAGAUCGANAGAGGUGAGUGGANUUCCAAGUGUAGAGGUGAAAUUCGUAGAUAUUUGGAGGAACACCAGUGGCGAAGGCGGCUCACUGGCUCGAUACUGACGCUGAGGUACGAAAGUGUGGGGAGCAAACAGGAUUAGAUACCCUGGUAGUCCACACCGUAAACGAUGAAUGCCAGACGUCAGCAAGCAUGCUUGUUGGUGUCACACCUAACGGAUUAAGCAUUCCGCCUGGGGAGUACGGUCGCAAGAUUAAAACUCAAAGGAAUUGACGGGGGCCCGCACAAGCGGUGGAGCAUGUGGUUUAAUUCGACGCAACGCGCAGAACCUUACCAACCCUUGACAUACUUGUCGCGGAUUCCAGAGAUGGAUUCCUUCAGUUCGGCUGGACAAUGUACAGGUGCUGCAUGGCUGUCGUCAGCUCGUGUCGUGAGAUGUUCGGUUAAGUCCGGCAACGAGCGCAACCCACGUCCUUAGUUACCAGCAUUUAGUUGGGUACCCUAAGGAGACUGCCGGUGAUAAGCCGGAGGAAGGUGUGGACGACGUCAAGUCAUCAUGGCCCUUACGGGUUGGGCUACACACGUGCUACAAUGGCAUCUACAGUGAGUUAAUCUCCAAAAGAUGUCUCAGUUCGGAUUGGGGUCUGCAACUCGACCCCAUGAAGUUGGAAUCGCUAGUAAUCGCGGAACAGCAUGCCGCGGUGAAUACGUUCCCGGGCCUUGUACACACCGCCCGUCACACCAUGGGAAUUGGGUCUACCCGAAGGUGGUGCGCCAACUAUUUAUAGGGGCAGCCAACCACGGUAGGUUCAGUGACUGGGGUGAAGUCGUAACAAGGUAA
rnacentral:rRNA from 1 species